rnacentral:rRNA from 1 species
GAUCCUGCCAGUAGUCAUAUGCUUGUCUCAAAGAUUAAGCCAUGCAUGUCUCAGUACAAGCCAAAUUAAGGUGAAACCGCGAAAGGCUCAUUAAAUCAGUUAUGGUUUCUUAGAUCGUACCCACAUUUACUUGGAUAACUGUGGUAAUUCUAGAGCUAAUACAUGCAAACAGAGCCCCGACCGGAGACGGAAGGGGUGCUUUUAUUAGAUCAAAACCAAUCGGCGGCAGUGGCGUUUCGGCGUUGCUGUUCGUCGCACUGUUUGGUGAUUCUGAAUAACUUUUGGCUGAUCGCACGGUCUCGCACCGGCGACGCAUCUUUCAAAUGUCUGCCUUAUCAACUGUCGAUGGUAGGUUCUGCGCCUACCAUGGUUGUAACGGGUAACGGGGAAUCAGGGUUCGAUUCCGGAGAGGGAGCCUGAGAAACGGCUACCACAUCCAAGGAAGGCAGCAGGCGCGCAAAUUACCCACUCCCAGCACGGGGAGGUAGUGACGAAAAAUAACGAUAUGGGACUCAUCCGAGGCCCCAUAAUCGGAAUGAAUACACUUUAAAUCCUUUAAUGAGGAUCCAUUAGAGGGCAAGUCUGGUGCCAGCAGCCGCGGUAAUUCCAGCUCUAAUAGCGUAUAU